ensembl:lncRNA
UAAACAUUAGGUUAACUGAGCUGUCUACUGGGUUAUAAACAUUAGGUUAACUGAGCUGUCUGCUUUGUUAUAAACAUUAGGUUAACUGAGCUGUCUGCUGGGUUAUAAACAUUAGGUUAACUGAGCUGUCUACUGGGUGAUUAACAGCUAAACAUUAGGUUAACUGAGCUGUCUGCUGGGUUAUAAACAUUAGGUUAACUGAGCUGUCUACUGGGUGAUUAACAGCUAAACAUUAGGUUAACUGAGCUGUCUGCUCGGUUAUAAACAUUAGGUUAACUGAGAUGUCUACUGGGUCAUAAACAGCUAAACAUUAGGUUAACUGAGCUGUCUACUGGGUUAUAAACAUUAGGUUAACUGAGCUGUCUGCUUUGUUAUAAACAGCUAAACAUUAGAUUAACUGAGCUGUCUACUGGGUCAUAAACAGCUAAACAUUAGGUUAACUGAGCUGUCUACUGGGUCAUAAACAGCUAAACAUUAGGUUAACUGAGCUGUCUACUGGGUCAUAAACAGCUAAACAUUAGGUUAACUGAGCUGUCUACUGGGUCAUAAACAGCUAAACAUUAGGUUAACCGUACAAAGACAUACUGCUACUUGGUGAAUUCAUUUUUUUUUUAUAGUUAAACAUUUUAAAAAGUUAUCAGUUUUAGAUAAAACUAUACAAAAUAUAUUCAUGUCACCAAAUAAUUUAUUAAAACACACUGUUUUGUAAUGAAGGUCUACAUUAGCCUCAACAGCACUCUGUAGGGUAGCACCAUGCUGUAGCCGGAGGACAGCUAGCUUCUGUCCUCCUCUAUGUAGAUUGACUUUAAUACAAAACCUAGGAGGCUCGUGGUUCUCACCCCCUUCCAUAGACCUACAAAGUAAAUAUGACAACUUCCGAAGGACGCCCUCCAACCUAUCAGAGCUCUUGCGGAUUGAACUGACAUGUUGUCCGCCCAAUCAAAGGAUCAGAGAAUGAAUAUAUUACUGAAAGCAUAAGCUACAGCUAGCUAGCACUGCAGGAAAUAUAAUGUGUUGAGUAAUUGACUCAAAGAUAGAGAAAGACAAUAGUUGAACAGUUUAAUUUCUUCAAAAAUGAUGGAGAAGCAAGAGAGAGAGAGAGUUAGCUAUAUUUGAUUGUAUUUUUUAAAACUUUCACUUUCAUUUAGCUAGCAAAUGCAGCUAGCUAGUUUAGCCUACUCCAACACUCGGCUAAAACAGAGGGGGAUGUUAUGUUAGCUAGCUGGCUAUGGCUACCCAACAGAGGGGGAUGUUAUGUUAGCUAGCUGACUAUGGCUACCCAACAGAGGGGGAUGUUAUGUUAGCUAGCUGGCUGGCUAUGGCUACCCAACAGAGGGGGAUGUUAUGUUAGCUAGCUGGCUAUGGCUACCCAACAGAGGGGGAUGUUAUGUUAGCUAGCUGGCUGGCUAUGGCUACCCAACAGAGGGGGAUGUUAUGUUAGCUAGCUGGCUAUGGCUACCCAACAGAGGGGGAUGUUAUGUUAGCUAGCUGGCUAAGGCUAUCCAACACUGGAACACUUCCAAGUCAAGGUAAGCUUUUGGUUUUAUUCAUUUAUUGCCACCAGGGCCCUAUGGUGUAUCUGCUAAACUGCUUUCUGACUGUACACUGUACUGCAUGAUUGUAGUGGAUUUACUAACACGUUAGUUCUAGUGGCUAUGUUGACAAUAAUCACAUUUUAUUAGUCACAUACACAUUAUUAGCAUAUAUUCUAGAGAAAAUGUGUGGGCAGAACUGAAAAAGAGUGUGCGAGCAAGGAGGCCUACAAACCUGACUCAGCUACACCAGCUCUGCCAGGAGGAAUUGACCAAAAUUCACCCAACUUAUAGUGGGAAACUUGUGGAAGGCUACCCAAAACGUUUGACCCAAGUUAAACAAUUUAAAGGCAAUGCUACCAAAUACUAAUUGAGUUUAUGUAAACUUUUGACCCACUGGGAAUGUGAUGAAAGAAAUAAAAGCUGAAAUAAAUCACUCUACUAUUAUUCUGACAUUUCACAUUCUUAAAAUAAAGUUGUGAUCCUAACUCACCUAAGACAGGGAAUUUUUACUAGGAUUAAAUGUCAGGAAUUGUGAAAAACUGAGUUUAAAUGUAUUUGGCUAAGGUGUGUGUAAACUUCCAACUUGUGCGUGCCAACAACUGUAUCCCAGUCCGCGAUCAAAACAAUCUUGAAGCAUGGAUUCUGAUUGGCCAGACCAGCAUUGAACAGACGGUUAUUUCCUGUUUGAGUUUCUGCCUAUAGGAAGGGAGCAAAAUGGAGGUGUGAUCUGAUUUGCCAAAGGAAUGACGGUGGAGGGCCUUGUAUGCAUCCCGGAAGGGGGAGUAGCAGUGGUCGACCGUUCCGUUUUAGCAGCGUGUGUACUACAAUCAAUGUGUUGGUAGAACUUUGGUAGCGUUUUCCUCAAACUUGCUUUGUUAAAAUCCCCAGUUAUAAUAAAUGCAGUCUCGGGAUAUGUGGUUUCCAGUUUGCACAGUAUAGUUCCUUGGGGGCUGUUGUGGUAUCAGCUUGAGGGGGAACAUACACGGCCGUGACUGUAAACAAAGAGAAUUCUCUUAGGAGGUAAUACGGUCGGCAUUUGAUUGUGAGGUAUUCUAAGUCGGGUGAACAAAAGCAGUAGGGUAAAGUACUUAAGUAAAAAAUACUUUUUAAAGUACUACUUAAUUUGUUUUUUGGAGUAUCUGUAUUUAACUUUACUAUUUAUAUUUUUUACUACUUUUACUUUUACUCCACUACAUUCCUAAAGAAAAUAUUGUACUUUUUACUUAAUGUUUUCCCUGACACCCAAAAAUAUUUAUUACAUUUUGAAUGGUUAGCAGGACAGAAAAAUUGUCUAAUUCACACAAGAGAACAUCCCUGGUAAUCCCUACUGCCUCUGAUCUGGUGGACUCACCAAGUGUUGGAGCAUGCCCCUGGCUUUCUGUAAAUAAAAGAAAAAAUAAAAUUUUGCCACCUGGUUUGCUUCAUAUAAGCAAUUUGAAAAGAUGAAUACUUUACCUUUAACUUUU